rnacentral:tRNA from 1 species
GGGGCAUUAGCUCAGUUGGCUAGAGCGUAUGGUUCGCAAUCAUAAGGUCGAGGGUUCGACCCCCUUAUGCUCCA